rnacentral:rRNA from 1 species
UUCCGGUUGAUCCUGCCGGACCCGACUGCUAUUUGGGUGAGGAUAAGCCAUGCGAGUUGAAUGGGAAACCUAAAAAUCCCAUGGCAAACUGCUCAGUAACACAUGAUCAACUUACCCUAUAGAGGAAAAUAACCUCGGGAAACUGAGGAUAAUGUUCCAUAGUUGAAUCGGCUUGGAAAAGUUUUUCAAUAAAAGGGAUAAGGAAAAUGGUCCUUAUCUGCUAUAGGAUAGGAUCGUGCUCGAUUAUGGUUGUUGGUGAGGUAAAGGCUCACCAAGCCGAUAAUCGAUAGGGGCCGUGAGAGCGGGAGCCCCGAGAUGGGUACUGAGACAACGACCCA